CUACGGGACGCAGCAGUGGGGAAUAUUGCACAAUGGAGGAAACUCUGAUGCAGCAACGCCGCGUGGAGGAUGACACUUUUCGGAGCGUAAACUCCUUUUAUAUAGGAAGAUAAUGACGGUACUAUAUGAAUAAGCACCGGCUAACUCCGUGCCAGCAGCCGCGGUAAUACGGAGGGUGCAAGCGUUACUCGGAAUCACUGGGCGUAAAGAGCGUGUAGGCGGGUUAAUAAGUCAGAAGUGAAAUCCUAUGGCUCAACCAUAGAACUGUUUUUGAAACUGUUAACCUAGAGUGUGGGAGAGGUAGAUGGAAUUUCUGGUGUAGGGGUAAAAUCCGUAGAGAUCAGAAGGAAUACCGAUUGCGAAGGCGAUCUACUGGAACAUAACUGACGCUGAGACGCGAAAGCGUGGGGAGCAAACAGGAUUAGAUACCCCAGUAGUC
rnacentral:rRNA from 1 species